rnacentral:rRNA from 1 species
UACGAACUGUGCAAACGUUAUUCGGAAUCACUGGCUUAAAGGGUGCGUAGGCGGCUUGCCAAGUAGGGUGUGAAAGCCCCCGGCUUAACCGGGGAAUUGCGCCCUAAACUGGCGAGCUGGAGUGAGAUAGGGGUGUGUGGAACUUCCGGUGGAGCGGUGAAAUGUGUUGAUAUCGGAAGGAACGCCGGUGGCGAAAGCGACACACUGGGUCUCAACUGACGCUGAGGCACGAAAGCCAGGGGAGCGAACGGG